rnacentral:rRNA from 1 species
UACAGAGGGUGCGAGCGUUGUCCGGAAUCACUGGGCGUAAAGGGCGCGUAGGCGGCUUGGUAAGGUUGCGGUGAAAGCCCGGGGCUCAACCCCGGGUCGGCCGUGGCAACUGCUGAGCUGGAGCACUGUAGAGGCAGGUGGAAUUCCGGGUGUAGCGGUGGAAUGCGUAGAGAUCCGGAAGAACACCGGUGGCGAAGGCGGCCUGCUGGGCAGUGGCUGGACGCUGAUGCGCGACAGCGAUGG